UCCUGUCCCCCAGGUUGGUUAAGUGGUCCUGGACCCUGUCUCUCAACUAAGCAUUCAAGGAUAUCAGUCAUCCUAUUGAUGGCAGUAGCCACUUGGUUACCCUCUACAUUCUCUUGCCCUUGCAUCAGUCCAAUUGCCGACCCUUGUGCAUUCCUUUGAGAUUGGGCUUGUCUAGACUCUCGCCCACGACCCACCCCGAGCACUCUUUCGUCCGUCCAUAAUUCUAAUGGUGCCUAGUGCAAGAAAUAAAAAUGAUCAUGCGAGAAAAUACCCAAAACAAGAGCCAAUCAAGAAACAUUGAAAAUAACAAUAAUUUACAUUCAUUAACACUUCAAGAUCCAUACAAUUAGUAAGUCAUGGGGGAGUACAAAAAUACAGCACACAAGUGCCACAAAAGUACUUUUAGUCACGUACGACUAAAGUAAGUUAAGUGCCUCAAAAGUAGGCCACACAGUCAUACAAAAUACAAUGGCCUUGGCACUAGCAUCACCCCAGCUAACUUUGACAAAACAUUAAAGUAGACUAAGUCACUAGUUUAGUGAUUGGUGAAGCCAGAAGUCUCUGCUACUUCAGUAGGAUCAUUUUCAUUUCCUACACAAGAAGUUUUAAUCUCAUGUCUCUUAUCGAGUAUCUUGUCAUUCUCCACUUGUUCAACCAAGGUAACACACCCAGCCAUCGACUUAUCUGUCCAGUCUCUAAUUUCGUGUACUACCCUAGCACGUCGAUUCUUAGCUUUUUGAAGCUGCUCACUAGGAGCCUUUGUCUUUUCCUCACUCCUCAAGUACCUCCGUCUCCACUUUAGAAAUUCUAGUAAUCUGGGCAUCCACAAUUGCCCUCAGUUCUCGAUUAUCUUCUCGAACUACUUUAGUUUCCUCGAAUAAUCUCCUCCGAUUUUCGGUUAUCGCUAAUAUCACAUUAUUUAAGUACAAGUAAGUCCUCUAGCAAUCACAUGGAGUCCAAGUUCGGCAAGUUGGGUUAUACCUCCAACGAGCUCCCCUAAGCCGUUCCCGACAAUGGCCACCAGAAUGCGUCCCCGAGACGGUUCAAUACCACCGUUACCUUCCGUAACUUACAAUUAAAAUUGAAAAUUUAAAUGAGUCCAAGUAUACUACAUAAACUGGAUUUGAUCAUCUCAUACUAUCCCACAUAUCUCUUACAAGAUCGAGACUCCCAAUUGUCCAUUAAUUCAAACCUAGGUUCUAAUUUUCAUCCCCACAAGCGGUCACUUAACUUCUCAACCAAUCCCAUAGUCCGGCAUUCUAAACUGUCGCGCCCCAUUUUUUGAUAAAUAAAAAUAAUGGUUUGAGAAAGAUGUUUUUGAUUCAAUUUUGAUUGGAAAAUGAUUUUGUGAGUUGAAAAAGAUAUGGGUCUAAUAUGGGACUUGAAAAAGCGACGAUUUGACCCAAAAAAUAGUUUUAAAAAGGGUUUUGAAAUGAAAAGUUUGGAGUCGCCACUUGGUAAUGAUUUAAGGUGUACCAAGUCACCUAAAAAAUGAGUUUUAAAGUCAAGUAAUAAUAAAACCUUUUUAAAACGACUCCUAGUCUACGUAAAACAAAGAAAAAGGUUCGGGAGUCACGUUUGACAAAGGGGAAGGCAAUGAUAGACUCCAAGGCACCCCUUUGACCUAGCCAAGGCUAGUUGCGUGACUUAACCCUAACUUUCCUAACUUUCUACCCAGGGUAUGCAUUGCAUGUUGGAUUAUGCCUAUAUGAAUGCGAAAACGAAAAAAUGCAAUCCUAAAUUCUAUGAUGUCUCUCGUGAGGUUUUUGGUCCCAAACCAUAUGAAUUGUGGCGGCCAAUAAAGGAAAACCUCAUAGAGGUCGAUUAAUGCAAAUGAGAGUCAAAUUCAAGUGUGCAAGUGUGAAAGUGUAUGAAAGAUGCAAGAAAUGUAAGUGCAAGUGUGCGAAUGUAUAAAAAAGGUGCAUGUGUGAAUUUGGAUGAAAAUCAAAGUGUUUGUGUGUGCAAAUGAAUGAAGAUAGAAUAGUACAUAUAUAAGUGAAACUUGAAUUUCAUU
rnacentral:lncRNA from 1 species